GAUGAACGCUGGCGGCGUGCCUAAUACAUGCAAGUCGAGCGAACGGACGAGAAGCUUGCUUUUCUGAUGUUAGCGGCGGACGGGUGAGUAACACGUGGAUAACCUACCUAUAAGACUGGGAUAACUUCGGGAAACCGGAGCUAAUACCGGAUAAUAUUUUGAACCGCAUGGUUCAAAAGUGAAAGACGGUCUUGCUGUCACUUAUAGAUGGAUCCGCGCUGCAUUAGCUAGUUGGUAAGGUAACGGCUUACCAAGGCAACGAUGCAUAGCCGACCUGAGAGGGUGAUCGGCCACACUGGAACUGAGACACGGUCCAGACUCCUACGGGAGGCAGCAGUAGGGAAUCUUCCGCAAUGGGCGAAAGCCUGACGGAGCAACGCCGCGUGAGUGAUGAAGGUCUUCGGAUCGUAAAACUCUGUUACUAGGGAAGAACAUAUGUGUAAGUAACUGUGCGCAUCUUGACGGUACCUAACCAGAAAGCCACGGCUAACUACGUG
rnacentral:rRNA from 1 species